AGAGUUUGAUCCUGGCUCAGGAUGAACGCUAGCUACAGGCUUAACACAUGCAAGUCGAGGGGAAACGGCAUUAAGUGCUUGCACUUUUUGGACGUCGACCGGCGCACGGGUGAGUAACGCGUAUCCAACCUGCCCCUUACCAGGGAAUAACCCGUUGAAAGACGGACUAAUGCCCUAUGCAGUCCUUUGACGGCAUCAGAUUAGGACUAAAGAUUCAUCGGUAUGGGAUGGGGAUGCGUCUGAUUAGCUUGUUGGCGGGGUAACGGCCCACCAAGGCAUCGAUCAGUAGGGGUUCUGAGAGGAAGGUCCCCCACAUAGGAACUGAGACACGGUCCUAACUCCUACGGGAGGCAGCAGUGAGGAAUAUUGGUCAAUGGGCGCUAGCCUGAACCAGCCAAGUAGCGUGCAGGAUGACGGCCCUAUGGGUUGUAAACUGCUUUUAUGCGGGGAUAAAGUCACCCACGUGUGGGUGUUUGCAGGUACCGCAUGAAUAAGGACCGGCUAAUUCCGUGCCAGCAGCCGCGGUAAUACGGAAGGUCCGGGCGUUAUCCGGAUUUAUUGGGUUUAAAGGGAGCGUAGGCUGUCUAUUAAGCGUGUUGUGAAAUUUACCGGCUCAACCGGUGGCUUGCAGCGCGAACUGGUCGACUUGAGUAUGCAGGAAGUAGGCGGAAUUCAUGGUGUAGCGGUGAAAUGCUUAGAUAUCAUGACGAACUCCGAUUGCGCAGGCAGCUUACUGUAGCAUAACUGACGCUGAUGCUCGAAAGUGCGGGUAUCAAACAGGAUUAGAUACCCUGGUAGUCCGCACGGUAAACGAUGGAUGCUCGCUAUUCGUCCUAUUUGGAUGAGUGGCCAAGUGAAAACAUUAAGCAUCCCACCUGGGGAGUACGCCGGCAACGGUGAAACUCAAAGGAAUUGACGGGGGCCCGCACAAGCGGAGGAACAUGUGGUUUAAUUCGAU
rnacentral:rRNA from 1 species